UUUUUAUAUUGUAGUGAACUCAGUAAAGCCGCAAAAGAAAAUUAUAACUAAAGAUUGUCAAGCUCAAAUUCAAUCUUUGGUUGUUGUUGAAGACAAAAUGUAUGUUGGAACAUCUUUUGGUGUAUUUUUUACUUGCAAUGCUUAUACAAUGAUACCUUAUACGUGGUUAAGAUGUUACAAAGAAUGUUUAAGUGUUAUUGUGCCGUGUCGUAUGCUUUCAAAGCGAGAUGUUAGUCAGAAAGAAAAUCAGCUUAUAUUAACUUGUGGUCAAAAAUCUUUGGGUCGUUGGUUUAACAAUGCUGAUUGUAAUAAGAAUGGAACCAGCGCUAAAAAAGGCUUUAGUCUGAUGAUGUGGAAUGUGAAUUCACUGAAUUAUAGUUUUAAAUCCUA
rnacentral:lncRNA from 1 species